GUGGCGCCGGCGGGAGGGAGCCGAGAGGCGGAGGCAGCCGGCGAGAACCGAGCUCAGCUGCUGCCCCAGGAGGCAGCUGCACUGGAAGCCGACUCUGCCAGAUGUAGCCACUGCUUCUAUCUAACUUCCCACCUGGGCUGGAGCGCGAGCAUGAACACCAUGCUGGAAGGACUUCUGCAGGUGAUGAUGUUUCUGUUUCAAGCGUAUGCUGAUCACCGUGAAACAUAACCCCAGUGCCAUGUCUGCGCAAGCAGUUCCUGCCAUCCUCCCACUGCUGCCUAUUCAUCUGCACUUCAGCUUUCAUAGGCUCCUUUCAGCAUAUCUUCUACAAGCAGUAGUCAUAUGCCUGCAUCCUGGAUUCACUUACACAUGACAUUAAGACUCCAAAGCAGGACUGCAGGAAGCAACAGGACUCUGCAAGCAGCAAAGGCUUAGUUACGAGACUGAAAAGAGGAGCUGAAAUGAAGAACAUCUGCCUGAAGGCAGCCAAGAACAAACUGCAGGCAAACCCAGAAAAACAGGCUGAAGAAAUGGACAGACGGGAAUAGAAGUAGCCAUGACAGAUGAGUCACCUAGUUCAAUAAAGAGCAAACCUGAGAUCGAGACAGUAUUAGCUACCCAUAGAUUAAAACAGAAUAAACAAACCCCUUCAGAACAA